CCCCCAAAAUAAAACUAAAACUAAACUAAUCACAUAUCUAAAACUAAACCAAACUUUUAUGAAUUAAACUAAAACUAAAUCACAUAUCAAAACAGUAAAUAACAAAAACUAAAAUCAAACCCCCAAAAUCAAAACCCCUAAAUCAAACCCCCAAACUCAAACCCCCUAAAUCAAAACAAUAAAUCAACCUAACAACUAACCCUAAAAUCAAACCUCCAAAUACAUAUAUAAACCCCCUAAUAAUAAAUACAUA
rnacentral:lncRNA from 1 species